CCUACGGGAGGCUGCAGUGGGGAAUAUUGGACAAUGGGGGCAACCCUGAUCCAGCCAUGCCGCGUGUGUGAAGAAGGCCCUCGGGUUGUAAAGCACUUUCAGUGAGGAAGAACGCCUGGUGGUUAAUACCCAUCAGGAAAGACAUCACUCACAGAAGAAGCACCGGCUAACUCCGUGCCAGCAGCCGCGGUAAUACGGAGGGUGCGAGCGUUAAUCGGAAUUACUGGGCGUAAAGCGCGCGUAGGUGGCUUGAUAAGCCGGUUGUGAAAGCCCCGGGCUCAACCUGGGAACGGCAUCCGGAACUGUCAAGCUAGAGUGCAGGAGAGGAAGGUAGAAUUCCCGGUGUAGCGGUGAAAUGCGUAGAGAUCGGGAGGAAUACCAGUGGCGAAGGCGGCCUUCUGGACUGACACUGACACUGAGGUGCGAAAGCGUGGGUAGCAAACAGGAUUAGAUACCCAGGUAGUC
rnacentral:rRNA from 1 species